rnacentral:rRNA from 1 species
ACGAACGCUGGCGGCAGGCUUAACACAUGCAAGUCGAACGCUGUAGCAAUACAGAGUGGCAGACGGGUGAGUAACGCGUGGGAAUCUACCUAGUUCUACGGAACAACACAGGGAAACUUGUGCUAAUACCGUAUACGCCCUACGGGGGCAAGAUUUAUCGGAAUUCGAUGAGCCCGCGUAAGAUUAGCUAGUUGGUGGGGUAAUGGCCUACCAAGGCGACGAUCUUUAGCUGGUCUGAGAGGAUGAUCAGCCACACUGGGACUGAGACACGGCCCAGACUCCUACGGGAGGCAGUAGUGGGGAAUAUUGGACAAUGGGCGCAAGCCGGAGCCAGCCAUGCCGCGUGAGUGAUGAAGGCCUUAGGGUUGUAAAGCUCUUUCAGUGGGGACGAUAAUGACGGUACCCACAGAAGAAGCCCCGGCUAACUUCGU